rnacentral:rRNA from 1 species
UUAAAUUGAAGAGUUUGAUCAUGGCUCAGAUUGAACGCUGGCGGCAGGCCUAACACAUGCAAGUCGAGCGGUAGCACAGAAGAGCUUGCUCUUUGGGUGACGAGCGGCGGACGGGUGAGUAAUGUCUGGGAAACUGCCUGAUGGAGGGGGAUAACUACUGGAAACGGUAGCUAAUACCGCAUAACCUCGCAAGAGCAAAGAGGGGGACCUUCGGGCCUCUCGCCAUCAGAUGUGCCCAGAUGGGAUUAGCUAGUAGGUGAGGUAAUGGCUCACCUAGGCGACGAUCCCUAGCUGGUCUGAGAGGAUGACCAGCCACACUGGAACUGAGACACGGUCCAGACUCCUACGGGAGGCAGCAGUGGGGAAUAUUGCACAAUGGGCGCAAGCCUGAUGCAGCCAUGCCGCGUGUGUGAAGAAGGCCUUCGGGUUGUAAAGCACUUUCAGCGGGGAGGAAGGCGGUAAGGUUAAUAACCUUAUCGAUUGACGUUACCCGCAGAAGAAGCACCGGCUAACUCCGUGCCAGCAGCCGCGGUAAUACGGAGGGUGCAAGCGUUAAUCGGAAUGACUGGGCGUAAAGCGCACGCAGGCGGUCUGUUAAGUUGGAUGUGAAAUCCCCGGGCUUAACCUGGGAACUGCAUUCAAAACUGACAGGCUAGAGUCUUGUAGAGGGGGGUAGAAUUCCAGGUGUAGCGGUGAAAUGCGUAGAGAUCUGGAGGAAUACCGGUGGCGAAGGCGGCCCCCUGGACAAAGACUGACGCUCAGGUGCGAAAGCGUGGGGAGCAAACAGGAUUAGAUACCCUGGUAGUCCACGCUGUAAACGAUGUCGAUUUGGAGGUUGUGCCCUUGAGGCGUGGCUUCCGGAGCUAACGCGUUAAAUCGACCGCCUGGGGAGUACGGCCGCAAGGUUAAAACUCAAAUGAAUUGACGGGGGCCCGCACAAGCGGUGGAGCAUGUGGUUUAAUUCGAUGCAACGCGAAGAACCUUACCUACUCUUGACAUCCAGAGAACUUAGCAGAGAUGCUUUGGUGCCUUCGGGAACUCUGAGACAGGUGCUGCAUGGCUGUCGUCAGCUCGUGUUGUGAAAUGUUGGGUUAAGUCCCGCAACGAGCGCAACCCUUAUCCUUUGUUGCCAGCGAUUCGGUCGGGAACUCAAAGGAGACUGCCGGUGAUAAACCGGAGGAAGGUGGGGAUGACGUCAAGUCAUCAUGGCCCUUACGAGUAGGGCUACACACGUGCUACAAUGGCGUAUACAAAGAGAAGCGACCUCGCGAGAGCAAGCGGACCUCAUAAAGUACGUCGUAGUCCGGAUUGGAGUCUGCAACUCGACUCCAUGAAGUCGGAAUCGCUAGUAAUCGUAGAUCAGAAUGCUACGGUGAAUACGUUCCCGGGCCUUGUACACACCGCCCGUCACACCAUGGGAGUGGGUUGCAAAAGAAGUAGGUAGCUUAACCUUCGGGAGGGCGCUUACCACUUUGUGAUUCAUGACUGGGGUGAAGUCGUAACAAGGUAACCGUAGGGGAACCUGCGGUUGGAUCACCUCCUUA